UACGUAGGGUGCGAGCGUUGUCCGGAAUUAUUGGGCGUAAAGAGCUCGUAGGCGGUCUGUCGCGUCUGCUGUGAAAACUCAGGGCUUAACCCUGAGCUUGCAGUGGGUACGGGCAGACUAGAGUGCGGUAGGGGAGACUGGAAUUCCUGGUGUAGCGGUGAAAUGCGCAGAUAUCAGGAGGAACAGCCGGUGGCGAAGGCGGGUCUUUUGGGCCGAUACUGACGCUGAGGAGCGAAAGCGUGGGGAGCGAACAGG
rnacentral:rRNA from 1 species